rnacentral:rRNA from 1 species
ACGGAGGGUGCAAGCGUUAUCCGGAUUUAUUGGGUUUAAAGGGUGCGUAGGCGGUUAUAUAAGUCAGAGGUGAAAUUUUUCGGCUCAACCGGAAACAUGCCUUUGAUACUGUAUAACUUGAAUAUGGUUGCUGUGAGUGGAACUUGUAGUGUAGCGGUGAAAUGCUUAGAUAUUACGCAGAAUAUCGAUUGCGAAGGCAGCUCACAGGUCCAUUAUUGACGCUGAGGCACGAAAGUGUGGGGAUCAAACAG